UGUGGAUAAUAUCUCGUCAUCAUUGAAUAUUGUUAAAAGAUUUGUUAUAAGGCCUAUAGUUAGUAGGACUGUUGAGCUAUAAUGAAAUCAUAUUACUAGACCAGAUGUUAGAAGGAGGGCUGAGAAUGCUCCUGUUAGUGGUCAUGGGCUUGGGUUUACUAUAUGGUAUGAGUGUGAGAG